rnacentral:rRNA from 1 species
GUCUUGAACUCACAAAGUUGCUCUACCCAGUUGUCACAGUCUCGUGAUGAUGGCGGAAAGGUCACACCUGUUCCCAUCUCGAACACAGAAGUUAAGCUUUCCAGCGCCGAUGGUACUUGGACCGCAGGGUCCUGGGAGAGUAGGACGUCGCGAGGC